rnacentral:rRNA from 1 species
GAUGAACGCUGGCGGCGUGCCUAAUACAUGCAAGUCGAGCGAACGGACGAGAAGCUUGCUUUUCUGAUGUUAGCGGCGGACGGGUGAGUAACACGUGGAUAACCUACCUAUAAGACUGGGAUAACUUCGGGAAACCGGAGCUAAUACCGGAUAAUAUUUUGAACCGCAUGGUUCAAAAGUGAAAGACGGUCUUGCUGUCACUUAUAGAUGGAUCCGCGCUGCAUUAGCUAGUUGGUAAGGUAACGGCUUACCAAGGCAACGAUGCAUAGCCGACCUGAGAGGGGGGACCGGCCACCCGGAACCGGAGACACGGUCCGACUUCCUACGGAGGCAGCAGUAGGGAAUCUUCCGCAAUGGGCGAAAGCCUGACGGAGCAACGCCGCGUGAGUGAUGAAGGUCUUCGGAUCGUAAAACUCUGUUAUUAGGGAAGAACAUAUGUGUAAGUAACUGUGCACAUCUUGACGGUACCUAAUCAGAAAGCCACGGCUAACUACGUG